GGGCCCGCACAAGCGGUGGAGUAUGUGGUUUAAUUCGAUGCAACGCGAAGAACCUUACCAGGGUUUGACAUCCUGCGAAUCUCUUGGAAACAGGAGAGUGCCUUCGGGAACGCAGUGACAGGUGGUGCAUGGCUGUCGUCAGCUCGUGUCGUGAGAUGUUGGGUUAAGUCCCGCAACGAGCGCAACCCACGUCUUUAGUUGCCACCAUUUAGUUGGGCACUUUAAAAGAACUGCCAGUGAUAAGCUGGAGGAAGGUGGGGAUGACGUCAAGUCCUCAUGGCCCUUAUGUGUUGGGCUACACACGUGCUACAAUGGUACUUACAAUGGGAUGCAAAGAGGUGACUCUUAGCUAAUCCCUAAAAUGUACCUCAGUUCGGAUUGUCGUCUGCAACUCGACGGCAUGAAGUCGGAAUCGCUAGUAAUCGC
rnacentral:rRNA from 1 species